GCCAGAGUGGUGGGAUUGGCAGACACGCGGGUUUUAGGUACCCGUGCCUUCGGGCGUGGGGUUCAAGUCCCCCUCUGGCA
rnacentral:tRNA from 1 species